ACUGCCCCUAGAGGCGUUGCAAGUGUGGCUGCUGUGUCACACCUGCGUCAGUAGGUGGCAGAGAGGAAGAGGCUAUGUCUACGCUCAGUGUUCUGACCUGUGAACAUCUGAAUGAUUAGUAGCCUGACACCC
ensembl:snoRNA